UCCACUCAGUGCCCCAAGGCUCAGAUACUGCGACCUUCCUGCCUGCACAGAUACCUGUAGCAUCGCCACCACUCAGCCAUGCUCCUGCUGCUCGUGCCAGUGCUGGCGAUGAUUUUCGCCCAGAGAGGAAGCAGAGCCCAGUCGGUGUCCCAGCCUGACCGCCACGUCAUGGUCUCUGAAGGAAUCCCCCUGGAGCUUAGGUGCAGCUACUCAUCUUCUUUCUCUCCCUAUCUCUUCUGGUACUACCAACGCCCCAACCAAGGCCUCCAGCUCCUCCUGAAGUACAUGUCAGGGGCCACCCUGGUUAAAGGCAUCAAUGGUUUCCAGGCUGAACUGAGGAAGAAUGAAACCUCCUUCCACCUGAGGAAGCCCUCAGCCCAUUGGAGCGACUCAGCUGAGUACUUCUGUGCUCUGAGUGACACAGUGCCUGGGGCUGCAGGGGGAGCUGAGCACAAACCUGAAAUGACACAGGGGACUUUGUGUGACCCACGGGCUCAAGCUGGGGAAUUUUCAAGAGGUUUUCAUUUUCUGUGCAGCCCAAGAGGGCAGGGUGGCUGAGCACAUGGGCGUGUUUUGUCUCCUAAAUACUUGCCUCCAUGUCUGUCCUGCUGCCUUUAGUCUGACUGUGUCCCAGAUGAAGGUCUUGUGAUGAAUUUCUC